rnacentral:lncRNA from 1 species
CGAAACUCAGGCAGCAAAUCCUCACCUGGAAGCAAUGAUGCUAACUUAAACAAUGCUUUUAAAUGAACCUUGGAUCUGGUCAGCAACAUUGAUUUGGUUUUGACUGAUCAAAAAAACCUUUGACUGACUCAAAAAACCUUCCAUCUUCUCGGUAUUUUCCACUUUCACUGUCUACACUGUCCUGCCCUGCAUAAAUCUUAUUUAAAAGCUAAUUUCAACACAGCAUGUGCACUUAGUGUACACUGAUCAGUGAUGAGUCAUGUUCAGCUUGAUAAGGAAAUGAAUGAAAGCCCUUACAAUUUAAAAAGACUCAGUGUUCCCAUGGCUAGACCACACAGGAAAGCUGUGUUGGAAAGCUCUAAUUUCCAAUUUCCAAGUCCCUCUAUUGUUUCUGUCAGGUGGACCUGUUUUCCUUGCAAAACGUCAAGCAAUUUUCCUAUAUUUCAGCAAUAUGCUCUGCAGACACUGGAGUUUUUCAGUUCCCUAUUCAGGUCAAAGAGAUUUCAUAAGGUCUGUAGCUAGUGUACACAAGUCUGAAAAGGAAUAAUCAGUUAUCUCAGCAUCUCAGGAAUAGGCAAGGCUCUGUCAAGACUCUUCCUCUGUGUUACAAGUACCCAUGUGCUCUUGUAAGACCUUGUGCCAGAGUACGCUGUAACUUGCAAGAAGACAUUAAACUGGAAAAUAAAAUGUCGUCCCACUUCCAGUGCUGAAGAAGCAGCUUUCAGAUUCCAAGCUGCAGAUGGUGGUCCUGUGCAACUGGUGACAACGAAUACCAGCAGACUUCUGAAUCAGUCUUUCAGGCUGGCCAUAUGAGAUCCUGUGGGCAUCCACCAUGACUGCAGUCAAGAACACUACGCAAGUCAAGAACAAAGAGCUGGAAAUAGCAGCCCUCCGUAUCCGCAGCACGGAGGAAGGGGCGCUGUGCCCGGGCACAGCGCAGCCGUGGCACCCGUGGGUUCGGUCCCUCGCUGCUUGCGCUGCCAGCAGAGCCUCGGAUCCCCCUCAGCCUGUCUGGGCUCGGUGCGUAUUGGAAUUUCAUCUCCCCAGUCUGCUCCUGCAGACUUUUUUUUUUUUUAAUUCAUGUGGAAAAAAAAUAAUAAUGAGAGGGUAAAAUAAGCGGAGCGAGAGCGAGCAUCAAUAGCCCCAGCCCGUAGGCUCAGCGCCUUCCUGCAGAGCUCCCGCAGCAGGGCCCCGCUCAGCCCCGGCGCUGCCGCAGGGCCCCGGGCAGGGGCAGCACCCAGGGGUGCUGGGCGGGGGCUGAGCCCCGCUCCCUGCCCCGAGCCUUAGGGCCACGGCCGGGGGCGCUGGCACAGCCCCG